rnacentral:rRNA from 1 species
GACGAACGCUGGCGGCGUGCUUAACACAUGCAAGUCGAACGGAAAGGCCCUGCUUUUGUGGGGUGCUCGAGUGGCGAACGGGUGAGUAACACGUGAGUAACCUGCCCUUGACUUUGGGAUAACUUCAGGAAACUGGGGCUAAUACCGGAUAGGAGCUCCUGCUGCAUGGUGGGGGUUGGAAAGUUUCGGCGGUUGGGGAUGGACUCGGGGCUUAUCAGCUUGUUGGUGGGGUAGUGGCUUACCAAGGCUUUGACGGGUAGCCGGCCUGAGAGGGUGACCGGCCACAUUGGGACGGAGAUACGGCCCAGACUCCUACGGGAGGCAGGAGGGGGGAAUAUUGCACAAUGGGCGGAAGCCUGAUGCAGCAACGCCGCGUGCGGGAGGACGGCCUUCGGGUUGUAAACCGCUUUCGCCUGUGACGAAGCGUGAGUGACGGUAAUGGGUAAAGAAGCACCGGCUAACUACGU